AAUUUAUUAUAUUUUCAAAUAGGCCAGAGAGACGGAAAUAACAGUUUCAAAUGAGAUCGACAAACUUGAUGUUCAAAAGUCAUUGAUUCAAGAAUGGCGAUCUGACCUACAAAUGAUUUGUAAGGAGUUAGAGUUAAACACUGGAACAACCUCGAAGAACAUAAAAUAUUCUAUCGAGGCAGUUGCAGACUCUAUCAGGCAUCGCAAAAAUCUGAUUGCCACUGAUGCAGAAAUGAGUGUGAUAGGAAAAAGCUUCAAGGCUUCAUAAAAAUCUACAAUAGUGAAAACUCUGAAAUUCUCAGUGAAAAGGAUGCAAUAGAAGGUAUCCUGCCAUGGCACAAUUUAUUGCCUCAUCAUAGCCAAAAUGUGUCCCUUGCUCAAAAAAAGAAGGCAGUAGAAGAUGUGGAGCUUCAGAAGAGAUCCAGAGAAGAGCAACAACACACUGUUCAAGAAAUGCUGCAUUAUCUCGCAUAUUACAAGAAUAAGAGAGAGAUUUUAACCGAACAUACUGAAGAGUUGUUAUGUGGAAUUUUUCCUUCAUAUCUAAGCAAGGAUCCUAACAAGUACACUAUUGAAGAGAAGCACCUAUCAACCAAAAA